CUCUGCAUACAAAGGUCUUUUUGAAAUUUGGGGAGUUGUAAGCCGAGUUGUUCAUCCCCUCUAAAAAAGAGGAUGAGAAUAUGACUAAUACUGAGAGAGAGGAAAUAAUGUCAUUCAGUUCUAAAUGACGCCCAGGCUUGCUUCUUCUUGAAGCCUGUUCAAGAGGCCACAUCUUAACCAGCUGAGGGAUAGAGGAGUGGGACUGAAUCCUCAGUGAAACAUGACACUCAGUGGGAAGCUUACAGAAUGAAAGAGAAGGUGAAGAACCCUCUCAGCCUGCUCUCCUGGGGACUGAGUAUAUCUGAAUCAGAAAUAAAAUCAACAGAAGUCACAAAGAACUUCAGCUUAGCCAACAUCCUGAGUUCCCAGUAUCUCCUAUUAAUCGAACUCAAUAAGAAGAAAAACGUAAAGUAACUUGCAUACGAGAUCCAACGAUCAGUAUCCCAAAGUGAAGAAUAUGGCAGAAAAGGACAGAUAAUUCAUAUAAAACAACAAUCAAAUAAGCUACCCUGCAAGAAUCUUCAAACUAGAAGUGGCAAACAAAACAAGUGGAAGAACUUUUAAAGCUGUUUAUAUUUGUCCUACUUUCUGCAAGCUUCUGCCUUGAUGGAGGCAAUAGCAACAUGGAGAUCCACCUGCAGCAAGUUAAGUUCGACUCCAAAUGAUUCUGUGACUGGGCUCUGGAACAAGUAUCACAGGGAACAACUAGACCGACUUAAAAACACACUUCAGCACCACUGAAAAGUUGAGGAUUGAUUAAUUUUACUCUUUCAGUUUUAUUUGUGACUUUCUGACUUUGGCCAUUAGUUAUCAACAAGGAUGGAACAAUUUAUUCCAGUAAAGGGGAAAAGAUUUUCUCACUGUAAGGAGUACAUAAAUACCUGUAGAAGAAGAAGCAAUAUGAACAGGACUGGACUUGAAUCACAGGAAAGUACUCUGGAAGUUUGCUGACUACUUCAGGUGAGGCAUGGCCCACACAGGAAAGAUCAUUGCAUUGAUGCCCUCUAAGUCGAAGAUCUCAAGUAGUGUUUGCGAUCACCAAAAUGGAGGUGCCAUUCACAGUGUAAGCCAUAAAGUGUGUAUUCUAUAUCUGUUUUCUCUGUAUACAGAAAACCUAGUCCACAUAUUUAAUUAUAUGGCAAUCAUGCUUGAUUAUCAUGAUAAUUUAAAACUUUACAUUAUCUCUCACACUUAGCCUAAUUAUUAGACAUAUACUCAUAUUAAAAAAUAAAGUUCAGAGCCGGCGCCGUGGCUCAAUAGGCUAAUCCUCCACCUUGCGGCGCCGGCACACCGGGUUCUAGUCCCGGUUGGGGCGCCGGAUUCUGUCCCGGUUGCCCCUCUUCCAGGCCAGCUCUCUGCUAUGGCCAGGGAGUGCAGUGGAGGAUGGCCCAGGUGCUUGGGCCCUGCACCCCAUGGGAGACCAGGAAAAGCACCUGGCUCCUGGCUCCUGCCAUCGGAUCAGCGCGGUGCGCCGGCUGCAGCGGCGGCCAUUGGAGGGUGAACCAACGGCAAAGGAAGACCUUUCUCUCUCUGUCUCUCUCUCUCACUGUCCACUCUGCCUGUCAAAAAUUAAAAAA